GGGGGAGUAUCAUUGCAUUACACAUUGUUUCAUCAUACACCUAUAUUUCAGGGGGAGUUUAAACUAUUUUGUGAUGAACUUGUGAUCUGUGAGAGCAUUAUUAUGUUUACAAUUUGCAUAUCUUUAUGAUGCAUCUCUGUUUUCAAAAACUGCAUAAAUAUCUGAAGCAUUCCUUUUUUGUUAAUGCACAAAGGGGGAGAGAUAUUCAUGAGUGUAUGAGAGCAAGUCUAUAUGGGGAGAAUUGUUGC
rnacentral:lncRNA from 1 species